rnacentral:rRNA from 1 species
AACGAACGCUGGCGGCAGGCUUAACACAUGCAAGUCGAGCGCCCCGCAAGGGGAGCGGCAGACGGGUGAGUAACGCGUGGGAAUCUACCCAUCUCUACGGAAUAACGCAUGGAAACGUGUGCUAAUACCGUAUACGUCCUUCGGGAGAAAGAUUUAUCGGAGAUGGAUGAGCCCGCGUUGGAUUAGCUAGUUGGUGGGGUAAAGGCCUACCAAGGCGACGAUCCAUAGCUGGUCUGAGAGGAUGAUCAGCCACACUGGGACUGAGACACGGCCCAGACUCCUACGGGAGGCAACAGUGGGGAAUAUUGGACAAUGGGCGCAAGCCUGAUCCAGCCAUGCCGCGUGAGUGAUGAAGGCCUUAGGGUUGUAAAGCUCUUUUGCCGGGGACGAUAAUGACGGUACCCGGAGAAUAAGUCCCGGCUAACUUCGUGCCAGCCGCCGCCGUAAAAC